UGCUCCCUGACUGGCGUAGCUCCGUAGUGCACUCACCAGCCAUGGCCGCCAUGCUCCCACCCUGGCUCCACAGCUACCUUAGCCUCAGAAGACAAGAGCUGCAGAACAUAGAACAUUUGGAAUGCCUAUGCUAGAGAAGGUGGACUGAGGCACCUAAUUCUUCACCUCUCAGCAUCACCAGGCCUUGCUGGAAUGGCCACCUCUGCUGAUUGUGGGACCACCCUUUAUGCAAAAUGUCAAGGAAGGACAAGGAGAAGACCUCAGUAAGGUUGGAGGGUCACGGGAGGAGGCCUGAAUUCCUGGAAGCCAACCCACCUCCCACAUGGUCAGCUAUGAUGAAGGAUACAAUUUUCAAGGGUCCUGAGGGGUGGGAGGCCUAACUGAAAAGGGGCCAAGUCUCCACUUACAGAAUGGAAGCCAGAUCGGAGGUUUGGUGGUUCUGUCCUGAAAAGGAAUAACAUGGAGCGAUUUCCCAUCACCUGCCCUGAGGACGUGGCUACAGUGGCCACAUGGUGUUCAGAGACUGAGUCAGUGAGACCAGACCAGAUGGUGAGGAAGUUACCUGGAACCCCACCACCACCACCAAAUGGCGGGGAGGGGGGGAUGUCUGGCCAAAAAAGAAACGCCCCAUCCUGAGACAACACCCCCAAUCCAUGGAGUGCUGCUUUCUCCAAAGAAGCUACUUAGCCCCGAAAAUACUCUUGGUCAUGCAGGAUAGGAGACAAGCUGAACUUGGCUUGUUGGAGAAAGCAGGGAGGUAUGCUGGUUAACUCAUCAACUUGAUACAAACUAGAGUCACCUUGGAAGAGGGAACUUGAAGUGAGGAACUGCCUCCACCAGACUGCCCUGUAGGCAUGUCUGUGGGGUGUAUUCGUCAUUAAUGAUUGAUGUGGGAGGACCAAGCCUGCUGUGGGCUGCAAGCUAAGACACGUAUGUUGUACAGGUUCAUAGGACAGGUCUGAGCUGAACUGUGUGUUCUUUCUGUUUUUAUGUUUUGUAUGGGUGUUAUGUUGUCUGUGUCCCAUGGAGGCAAGAAGGUGUCAGAUUCCUGACACUGGAGUUUUGAUGUGCCAUGUAGGUGCUGAAGAUCAAACCUGAGGAUCCAACCAAUGAACAUCCUUAACUCCUGAGACAUCCUGCCCCCUGGAUGUGUUCUUAAUAACACUUUUUACAUCCCUAAGCCUGGCCGCCUCUCUAGGUGAAUAGACAUCAGGACACAUCAAUCAGGCAAACAGGAGCAACCCUUGUUCCUCAGCAGCUCUUAGUUUCCUAUAAUUUGUGUUAAACCAUCAUGACCAAAAGAUACUCAGGAGGAAAGGAUUUAUUUGGCCUUAUUUGGGAAACCAAGGCAGGAAUCUGGAGACAGGAACUUUAACAGAGAUGAUGGAGGAACUCUGCCCACUGGCUUUGAUCCUUAUGGCUUGCUCAGUUGGCUUUCUUAUACACCCCAGGCCUCCAGCCUAGGAGUGGCACCGCUCACAGUGGGCUGGACCCUCCCACAGCAAUCAUUAAUCCAGAAAACACCAUCUGAUGGAGGCAUUUUCUCAGUUGAGGUUCCUUUUCUCAGAUGCCCCCACCUGUAUUAAACUGAUAAAAACCUAAGCAGCACCACAGAUAUGUGAGAGGCCGGGACCUCUCACCUACUGGCCAGCACCCUCUGUCCCGCCUCUUUUGAUUUUUACUUUGAGACAGGGUAUCACAAAAAUUACUCAUGUGGCCCUUGAACUUGUGAGCUUCCUCUCUCAGUCUACCAAGUAGGUGGGAAGCCAGGCUUAUGUCUUCUUUGGGGCAGGAUAACCCUGAGCUUCCGGGCCCACAGUCAGUCCCCAUACUUUAGGCAGGGAUAUGAAAAGCCUGGUGUAUUGCAACCCUCUUCUGGCCACCAUUACCAAGGCAGGGAUGAGCACUUGACACAGGCCAGACCAUGCUUCAGUUCCAAAGCCAUUGCCUUGAACUAUGGGAAAGGGAAAGUGAUUGUCACAGAUGCUGGCAAAUGAACAGAUGAGUCUGCCUACUGGCAGCUGCUCACAGACCUCACUGGGUGUUUGCUUCUUGGCCCCUCAUUCGGAAGGCUGGUGUGAAAAGUGAGACUGCGGGCCUCCCAGGGCUCAGCCACAGAACGUGCAUUGUGAGUCUGGGUGCCUUCUAGAUGGAAAACCUGAUGCUCUGAGAAGUGGCCGGUGGGUUCAGAGCCAGAUCCCUGAGGUAGCCACACCUGCCGAGGGGCUGGGUGAAGAAUCUUGAAGCAGGAAGCAGAUGGGAACCCAGAACCACCUCGGCUCUAGAGGGGUCAUGAGUCUGAGGCAGUCUGAGGGAGCUGGGGCGAACCGAGAGCCCUCCUUACGGGCCCCACCCUCUUCUCUACCCUCCCUGUCCCCGGCCCGCCCUGCGCCCCCUCCCAACCCCAGGAGGUGGCAGGGUGACCACCCCCCAGAAGUAGUCUUUAAACGUAUGCACCAGAACAACUCAACUGAGGUUCCCCCUUCUGGGGUCUAUGUGGGAUUGUAUCAGGCUGAUGGCACUAACCAGCACACAAACCAGGAUACAGUACCUAUUUUUACUUCCUCUUCCAUUAUGCUUGUAACGUUAGUAGUUGUGAUUGCUUCUACUCUCACAUUACAGAAGCCUGACCAGAGAGCUUUACACAGGACCUGUUUUUGUCAUUUACUAAAUCCUUUUAUUGUUAGUCCAGCUGUCACAAACUGCCAAGAAGGACCCAGGCAUUUUCUUCCCUCUGCUGGUCUUAGUGGAACAGCUUUUAUGUGCAUGGGUAUCUUCUUUCUAUUACAAAAAAGCUGCUGUGGCUCCAGACAUCUCUUCAGCAUGCCAGAGAGGAAGAUGGAAAUGGGAAAGAAACAGGUAUGCAUGUCACCUGGGGCUGAGGCUGGAGCGAUGGCUCAGUGGCUAAGGGCACUGGCUGCUCUUGCAGCAGAUCCAGAUUCCAAUCCCAGCACCCACACGGUGAUUUAUAACUGCCGGUAACUCCAGUUCCAUGGGAUAUGAUGCUCUCUUCUGACUUCUGAGGACACCAGGCAUGCUCGUGGUGAACAGACAUACAGACAAAAUAGUCAUCACACAAUCUAAAAGAAAUAAAUCUUGGUAACUCUUUUUACAAAGUAUGAUCUUUUGAUUUCUAGGAAGACUUUCUGUGGUAAAAAUGUAUCUCACAGGAAAUGUGCCACUGCGAACACCUGGCACUUUCUCGUGCAACCACUGCCAAGCUCUAGAACAUUCCCAUCAGACCAAGAGCAAGCCACACACAGGAAGUAGCCAGUUCCCAAUCCCUUGGCCUUUCAUCUGUUUCUGUUGAUGAUAUUUCACAUCAACAAGACACAAUACUGCCACCCUGUGCCUUUGCUUCCACUCAGCACGCCAACGUUGAGGUAGCUGUGACAGUACCCGACCUCUUUUUGUGACUGAGUAAUUCUCCAUUGAAUGGAUGGCUAUACCUCAGUUCAGUAUUAGUCUGCUCAUUCACAGACAGGCAUUUAUUUGAGUUGUUUUUACCUGUUAGCUAUUGGGAAAGUUCACAUGUGAAUUCCGUUUGCCCACUUACUUUCAAUUCUGAAAUAAAUAAAAUUCCAUUUUGUCCC
rnacentral:lncRNA from 1 species